rnacentral:rRNA from 1 species
GACGAACCGAGCGAACGUUGUUCGGAAUCACUGGGCUUAAAGGGCGCGUAGGCGGGCUGCCGCGUCCGGGGUGAAAUCCUCCGGCUCAACCGGAGAACGGCCCCGGGUACGGGCGGCCUCGAGGGGGGUAGGGGCGUGCGGAACUGUGGGUGGAGCGGUGAAAUGCGUUGAGAUCGGAAGGAACGCCCGUGGCGAAAGCGGGCGCCUGGACCCCACCUGACGCUGAGACGCGAAAGCCAGGGGAGCGAACGGG